UUUGAUGCUUUUAUAAUUUGUUUAAAUUUGUUUAAAUUUUUUGUCUGAAUUUUAAUAAAAAAUAUUAUUGUAGGAACAAUGGUUAAAAGGAAGCAUUCUAAACCGAUACCUAGAGCAACAAAUGCCUCUACAGUUAUGUCAUUGCCAUCAAAUGAUAGUGUGUUUGUUGAUCCAUCCACUCAAGCAUAGAUGCAGCAGGUCAAUGAUGUGCCCUCUAAGCCACCCUCUUUAUUAGUUACAUCUGCAAAGCAAGUAAAUAAUGAGACAUCUACUCACGAUUCGUCUAGAUCCACAUCUAUUGAUUUAGGUGCGAGUGUAGAUGGUUCAUCCUUAAAGUCAAGGGGUAGGGGGCCUAGUGUAGGAUUAUAGACUCCUAUAGAUCCAUCAAAAAGAUUGCAUAUAACUCCUAUUGGAGAGAGUACUUUUUUCGAGCAAGGGGUCAAGACUACAAUAACAAGGAUCAUAAAAAAUCACUUCAACGGUCCAUGGCUGACAUGGAGGAAAGUUCCUAAUGAUGUAAAGGAGUUAAUAUUUAAAAAAUUUUAGGAAAAAUGUGUUUGGCCUACAAAUCAAGAUGUUUUGGUUCGAUGAAUAUGGGAUAAAAUUUGCUCCGAUCAGUUAAGAGACAUGCUUUCAGAGGAGAGGAAUAAAGCAAUGACAGAAUCUAAAACAAACAAUAUUAUGGAUUGCAAAGGCAUGUCAAGUGAAUGGAUCACAAAUGAAAUUUGGGAUGACCUUGUCGAUACAGUAUGGGGUACAGAAGAACGGAAAAACAAAUCGAGAAAAGGAAGGCAAAAUCGUUUAACGCCAAAAGAAAGAAGCAUUCCAAAGCACACUGGCGGUUCAGUUCCAUUUGUUGUUUAUGCAAAAAAGAUGGCAAUUGAGAUGAAAAGAAAUGUUAGCUUUUUGGAAGUGUUCAACCGGACGCAUAAGCGUAUGGUGGGUCACGGUGAUUUUAUAGAUAACAAGUCUAAAUCUACCAGUAAAUGUAUACUUCUGUACUAUCGCAGAAGUAUGGUGAAGAUUCAUCUUUUCAGCCAGAGUUUGAUCCACAUGCUUGGAUUGAAGCAACUGAACGGAUGGAGACUACACGCACUCACGUAUAUGGGUUUGGUACUUGGGUGCCUGUUACAGCUCUACUUAGUGGAACACAAAGCAAUGUAGUAACAUCUGAGUCUACGUGUGGCCCUAUCAACUCAAAUGCCACCAAUCUCGCAAUUGCAUUAGAAGAAAAAUUGAAAAAUUUAUCAAAAAACUUGGGUAAGAUUCGUGAGGAAAUACGUGGCGAAAUACAUGAAGAAAUUAAGAAUGCAAUGACGAAAAGUAUGAGUAAAUUUAUGGCACAUAUGGAAACAAUGAUCGUGACUACUGCGCUUUCAAAACAUGGAAAUGCGGGUACUUCAAGCUCAAAUCUUGACAAGUAAGAAGGCAAUAUUUCAUAAUAUGAUGUCUCUUUUUCAUUUCUAGCCUUGGAUACUUUUUAGUAUAGAUAUUUAAUAACACAUUUAGCUUUAUAUCAAGUUAUGUGUUUGACAUUUUUAGAUUUUUUGUG